rnacentral:rRNA from 3 species
GAUUCGUCACACUAUCAUUAACUGAAUCCAUAGGUUAAUGAGGCGAACCGGGGGAACUGAAACAUCUAAGUACCCCGAGGAAAAGAAAUCAACCGAGAUUCCCCCAGUAGCGGCGAGCGAACGGGGAGGAGCCCAGAGCCUGAAUCAGCAUGUGUGUUAGUGGAAGCGUCUGGAAAGGCGCGCGAUACAGGGUGACAGCCCCGUACACAAAAGCGCAUGUGCUGUGAGCUCGAUGAGUAGGGCGGGACACGUGGUAUCCUGUCUGAAUAUGGGGGGACCAUCCUCCAAGGCUAAAUACUCCUGACUGACCGAUAGUGAACCAGUACCGUGAGGGAAAGGCGAAAAGAACCCCGGCGAGGGGAGUGAAAAAGAACCUGAAACCGUGUACGUACAAGCAGUGGGAGCACCCUUCGGGGUGUGACUGCGUACCUUUUGUAUAAUG